CCUUCUGCUGUCACUCCACUGAACGGAUGUGUCGAGUAGAGCUGAACUCUUUCUGUUAUAAGAAAUUAGAGAGAAUAAUGUCUGGGACUCCCCCACCUGAAUUCCCGUUUGUCUUUCCGCCACAGAAGGUGGCUUCAGGAGUGAGUAGUGUUCGUCCGGACAAUAACUAGAAAAUGUUUCGCAGAUCCUUUGGCACUACUGUCAGACGAGUCUUGAGAAAAAUCUGUCCAAUUCUCAUCCCCGCUGAAACCACAUACAAUAAAUUCUUGCCUCAACUA